AUGCACAGCCCAUGGCUGUUCCCAUCCCAGAGGCAGCAAAUGCCCCACAGCAGUGCAGGGCUCAUUGCCCUUAGGGCAGCUUCACCUGGGGAGGGUUUCCUUUGGGUCCCACCAUGCUAUUUGAGGAUAAAUGUUGAGUUUGUUUUCAAACCAUUUUUCUACCAAGAGGGAAGGGGGAGAGGCUGGCAUUGCUUCACAGUUCUUGAGGGUUCACGGCUAAAUGCAGAAGGUGUAGGCAUAGGGUGGGGGUCACCUCAUCAGGUCCCCUCAUACCACAGCCUGGAUGUCCCUGGGGCAGAGCCAUCAAACCCUGCGUGCUGGAGCAGGGGAGUGCAAUGCAGGGCCAGGCCAGCACCUGGGCACAGCCCCAGCCAAUCCCAGCACCGUGCCUGCCUCCACCUGCAGCGCAUUUGGCCUAACGACUUAACCACAGAUCCUGUUUCCAUGCAAACAUCCCAAGUGUUCAGUCCCUGGUGGCGGGGAAACUCCUUAAAUCAAAGCCAGAGCUCCAGUGCCAAGUACAGAGAGGAGAGAAGAGAAAUGCAGCAGUCCUGUGACAGCAUGGGCAGGACAGCGCUGCCCGCAGACCUGCCAUUCAUGCUCGAUUGGAGAGCCGUUGUUGCUGCACAGAGUGCAGAUAUAAGUGAUGUCUUAAUUCAUUGCACAUUCCUAAAUAAAGGAGAGAGAAAGAAAAGGAGCGGCUCAAGGUCAGCACUCAUUGCUGAGCGAGAUUCCUUCAGCAGAUUGUCUGAAAUAGCUUGUGAAAAUAAACAAGAGCGAGCUGAUGGGCACAGCACAUUGAGGCAAGAGAGGGCUGAGAUGAGGAGCGCCAGCUUGACUGCCAGCCUGGUGCGGGAACAAAGCCCUCAAUUUGUGUUUUAAUGGCCGACCUGAACGGUUACACAAAGUCUCAACGAUGCUGAGUUGCCGACGUGAUCAUUACAGACGCUGAAGCCAAAAGCUGGGAGAAUCCUUCAAAAUAUGUAACGAAUACAAGUCUCAAAUUCUUGCUGGAGAUGGCCGAAUUCAUUUGUAGUCAACAGAGAGCUCUGACCUGCUGGAGCACCGCAUCAGACCCCCCAAAAGUAUUUGGGAAGCUUUUGUUAUCUUCUUGUUUCCUACAACUAUUCCUAUGAGUACUCUGGGAGUUUUUGGUAACUGGAAGAUUUGGCAGAAGGGGAACUUUGCAGACUGCUGGUGCAGGUUCUUCUACCAGAAAUGCUCUUCAGAACUAUUGAAUUAAUCCCAACUCGAUCCAGCUCCCACUUCCCAAAAUGUGCAGCCAUUGGUGGACAAAUGCUCAGCAGAGACUGAGGAAAGCAGUGCUCAGAGCAUCCGAGUUACACCGAAGAGCCCAAUUCACAGUCUGAUUGUAAUGCAGCGACGUAAAGAAUAAGAUAAUCUCAAGAAAUGGAUAACGGGGAAACCCCAGCUGUGAUUGCAGAUAUGUGAAUGUAGGGCCAAAUUCAUGCAGCUGGUCAUGGACCACUCUCCCUAUUUGCAAGCACAGCACCAUUAUUCCAGCCGAAUUUAUGAAUCCACAGCUGACUGCAUCCAGAAAGAGAGCCGGAGCCCCAGAGUUACUUGGCUGAGCUGUUAUCCAAAGCACUGGGAGUUGGUUUCUGGGUAUGGGAGACACAGGAGAUUCCCAUGGGGACAGCGUGGUACCAUGGCUUCCUGUGUGCUGCAUCCCCUGCCUGGGCUCUCAGUGUGGCUGCAGGUAGGACCACGUGUUUCGUGCAGGUUGACCCAUUGGGAACAGUGUCAAAACAAUUCCCAGAGUGUGUGUGACAACCGUGAAGCAUGAGCAGCACAUUUGCGCUUGGAUGUGACACAGCAGAGGAAAUGGAGCAGCCUGCAGAGGGGAGAGCCAAGCUGCUCAGAGAAACAGGUGAUGCUGUUGCUGUAUUGUGGUCCAAGAUGUGACUUUCUGGUCAGAAGGAAAAUACUGCUGAAAAAAAAGAUGAGUUAAACCGUAGGCAGAUGCCUCAGAGGAUUCUUUGCUAGCGGUGAGAUUACAGCUAUGCUGACAGCUCCCUGGCAAGGGUUGCUCCUGAAGGCGAUAACACUUUCCCUUGCAGGGCACAAGAAAUGCUGCUGAGGGCACAGGAGUUUUUGGCCACUGAAAUCACAGAAAGCGAUGUCUGAGUGUCCUCCAGCAGCAGGAGGAGCCAGGGAUAGGCAUGCUGGGGAGAGCUGCAUGCAUGUCGUGCCUUGGCACAGUGCGUGCUGCAGUGCUCCUCACACAUGCACAGCAAUGCAGGAAUACCACCACGGUGGCAAGAGCUCAAAAGUUAGGAGAAGAUGGACUGAGGUUGUCUUUUGUGUGCAGUCCUCUCCACACCAUCCGUGCCAGCACACUCUCUGUGCCAGCAAAGAGCCAACCUGAGGCUGCCCCAGUGCUGGGAACAGCUGUUCCCUCCUGGGCUCCCUCCCUGGAGCAGUGCAGCCACUCUCACCCAUGGAACCCUGCUGGCAGCACCCUGCUUGCUUGCAGAGAGCUCAGGUACCGAUAUCACAAGAUUAAAGGAAGUGGCAAUUUCAAGUGCCCCAUUUGAGGCAGCUGAUCUUUUUUGAUGGUACUUGGCCUUUCAUAUAAUGCCUUCUGUGUUCAAAGCACAGCUUCUGACGGCUUCCUCUGCAGCCACAAACGUUUAGUGUCUCUGAAAUCAGCUCCCGUGAUCUCAGAUUUGAAUGCCCAAGAAAUGAGAAGC
rnacentral:lncRNA from 7 species